UGUCAUAUGUUGGAUUACACGGUUUCGAACAACAUACAAGAAAUGCCAAAGUUAAGAGUGUGUUGUAUUUGUGGUAUUUCUUCAGGUUAUUUUAAGAAGGAUAGAAAUUCCCGUAGUUUUUUUAAUUUUCCAAACCCGAAUAUCAAAAAGUUAGUGCCAUUUGAUAAGGAUCUGUUGGAAAAGAGGCUUGUUGCAUGGAAAGAAGUUGUUGGAACUAACUAUGAUAAUGUCCCUAUUGGACUGACUUGUGUUUGUUCUGACCACUUCCAAUCAGGUAAACCAGCUCACUUUUCAGGCAAGAAGUUUCUCGGCAAAAGUGUUAUCUACAUAUUGGGGAGAACCUUUUAGAUUUUUGUAUGCCUCAAACUUCUCACCAUUACUGCCAUUCCGUUCAAUAACUAAAUAUAGAACUAAAUAUUGA